rnacentral:lncRNA from 1 species
UGAUGAUGAUCGCACUUCUCCCUCAAAUGCAUCUGUCACGCCCCGGGGUCCCUUUUAGUUUAAAACAUAGCGGAAAAGCGUCUGAAUUUUUUUUUUUUUUUUUUUAAAAGCCUGACCCCAGAGUAUGCCAGAUCCGCCACAAACACAGGGAAUCCACUGUUCACACGGACAGAGUCUCCCCUGUAUUUGCAUGGCGUCACACAAGUACAAGAAGUCACCCAGGCACAACCACAAUAAAUGAACAUACAAAUAACCAACCGUUAUAUAUAUAUUCAUACACUAUUCACCACAGAUUCACAUUUAUGCAUUCAAUAUUUAAACAUAAAUUCACAUCUAUCAGUUAAAAUGUUUCCAACCACAGAAACAGAUUUUAAAAUACUACGAUAUAAAAUCACAGAAAACCUUUUGAAAGCUGUUUCCUACACGAAAACCUUUAUUCUUUAAAAACGCUACCACGAGGGGUAGAAAACCUUUUAAUUUACAAAAAUCCAGAAAUCCACAUUUUCAAAUGUAAAUAAAUACUGAACCAUAUAAGCUAUCUAAGCUAUAUAUCAACAGAAAUACUAAGGAUAAUAACUAAACCGAAAUAACCUGGGUUGGAAGCUCUAUCGACCGCUACACACGUACCUCACGUCUCGUCCCACUACUCAUCGCCCGCGAUACCUGAAAAAUGGUGGGGGAGGUGAGAACAUGUAAACAUGUCUCCCCUCCCAGUGGGUACCGCAAGCCGAAGAAGGCGAGGAGUACUCACCGGAUCAGGAAGAGCUAUACAACAACACGGGUCAGUGGAAAUACAGUAGGAACAAUAGUAAACGAAAAAGAUGUAAGGUAAUGAGCAGAUAUACUAAAUACAGUAGCAAUAAACUGACAGAAAGUAAGAUCUAGACUGAAUAACGGCUACCGCUACUGUAACUGGAAUCGAAAGUAUACAUGAAUAUCUACUAUAGUAGCAAGACAACUAUAAAGUAAGAACUGUAACUAUGCAAGCAACGACUGCUACUAUAGACAUAUGCGUCAACCGGUCAAGAAGUCCAAAAGUACCCAAUCUGAAACCAAUGCUCUCUUGGUCAGCACCGCAGACCUCAAGCCAAUGCCACUACUACUCUCCAGUGCAUAUAACCCCUCUAGGGCUCACGGGUUGUCACCAUUCAACCACUUUUCCGGAAAAGAACACUCCUUGCGGUGGAUCAGACCGCCCGUGUUCGUGAAAUGCGACGAGUAUCGGGCGAUCAAUGCAAUAUGCUCAAUGAUCAACCGUCGGCAACCAGCUGACAAUCCUGCCCCCCCAGGGCCCAUCGACCGCAUAGGUCAUCAACUGUAAGGAAGCACAAGUACCGACCACUCAGGUCAACUAGGAUGGGACAACAUCGACAUCCUCUCAAACAUAUGUAAAUACUGCUCAAUGAACGACAAGGACUGACCACUCAGAUCAACUAGGAUAUGAAACUCGACCAAUCAUGUCACAAGUAUCGGAUAUGAAACUCGACCAAUCAUGUCACAAGUAUAGGAUAUGAUGCACUGACCGACUAGGUCACAAACAUGUCAAAUAGUGAAUAUGAGUAAAGUAUAAUCAUCCGUCGGCAACUAACCGACAAUCCCACCCCUCAGGGUAUACCGACCUCAACGGUCAUCAGACAACAAAGGUCGAGGAACUCACCGAAUAGGUCACAAAUACUGAAUACUAGAAUCGACCGACUAGAUCGCU